GAUGAACGCUGGCGGCGUGCCUAAUACAUGCAAGUCGAGCGAACCACUUCGGUGGUGAGCGGCGAACGGGUGAGUAACACGUAGGUGAUCUGCCCAUCAGACGGGGACAACGAUUGGAAACGAUCGCUAAUACCGGAUAGGACGAAAGUUUAAAGGUGCUUCUGGCACCGCUGAUGGAUGAGCCUGCGGCGCAUUAGCUAGUUGGUAGGGUAAAGGCCUACCAAGGCGACGAUGCGUAGCCGACCUGAGAGGGUGAACGGCCACACUGGGACUGAGACACGGCCCAGACUCCUACGGGAGUCAGCAGUAGGGAAUCUUCGGCAAUGGGCGAAAGCCUGACCGAGCAACGCCGCGUGAAUGAUGAAGGCCUUCGGGUUGUAAAAUUCUGUUAUAAGGGAAGAACGACUUUAGUAGGAAAUGGCUAGAGUGUGACGGUACCUUAUGAGAAAGCCACGGCUAACUACGCGCCAGCCGCCGCCGUAAGAC
rnacentral:rRNA from 1 species